ACUGGUCCACUGCAGAUGUGAACAAGACUCUUUUAAGACCGGAAAACUUUUCAACUCAUUUGGUUACUACUGAAAUUCGUCUGAACUUACGCGAUUUUAAUGCUGGCAUGGGCAAAUUCAAUCAUUUUAUUGGGCGCCAGUACUGGGAUCACCAGUAUAUUGCAUUGUCAGACUACAAGUGGGCUGAUCCGACAACUUCAAUACCUCUCGACUGAUCGCGUUGAAAAUCGGGUUAUCAACGGGAUGGCUGCUAUUAACGUUCAUAUUUAUAUUAAUUAAUUUUGUACGAUUUUUGCAGGUAACACUUAGUUUUUCUCGUCCUGUUAAUUUGAUAGAUAUCUACUUACUGAAUCUUUAUAAAGUAUUUUUCGAAAGCCUCAAACUCAUUUUUGUAAAACUUUUUCAGGCCGCAGACGGGAUCGAUUUGUGGUUCACCCCGGUGGUAAUGUGCAUAAUCCUCUACUUGACUGGAAUAAAUGGCUUAAAUAUGAAAGUAAAACCACAACCCUGCCCCACUAUAUACUUUUUUAAACAUUUGUUAUCCGAUGCUGCUUGAUCUGCGUCUGUUAAUGGGAGCUUUGAGCUCAUAACCUUUGGAUCAGCCCAAUAAUAAACUUGGGGUUUAGGUUCUACACACUGCGUAACGACAGGAGCUCUGGAAAUGACGCUGUUAUCAGCUUCAAAGUGACUAACUUUGGGGCCACUAACUCCUUUAUAUCAGAUGAAAGACCCACCGUGCAGUAACGAUGUCAGCUUUUGUUUC